AAAAAAAGUUUUACUUAUGGGAAGUAACUGAGUUAUGCAUAUUAUAUUCUAAGCUGUACUUCUGAAACAAAAACUAAAAUUUCUCAUAUCACACUAAUGGGACCGGAUGCCCGGGGUGACAAACUUGCUGCUUUUGGAGAUUGAGGUGGUGGUCCAAUUUUAAGGUCCAGCUCCGGAGGGUCUACAUUUUCAGUUGAUGGACCUUCUUGCGAAAAGCUGACCGGAAAUGAUCUUGGCGUAGGAAUACCAGAAGGGUGGUUGGUAAGGAGUGCACAACUAGCAAAGCUUCCAGGGCUCUUCAGCGUAUAAGGGUAGCCUAGCCUUGCAUAAUUGUAUUUCAUAAUCUGGACGAGAGGUGAAGUUGGCAUGGUUUUAACGCCCACGAAGCUCUGCCCGUUGCUAGGGUAUCCUUG
rnacentral:misc_RNA from 1 species